GCUGGUGUGAUGGCUCAGUGGUUAAGAGCACCGACUGCUCUUCUGAAGGUCCUGAGUUCAAAUCCCAGCAACCGCA
rnacentral:tRNA from 1 species